rnacentral:other from 1 species
AGAAUUCUGUAGUGUUCGAAUCGUCUUUUCAAUCGAGUUGACCGAACAUUUAUACACUGGGAUUCGAAAGAUGGUAUUCAUGACAAGCCUUUUCACUUGGAAGUCAGAUGUACCAUCGGAGAAACCCACCUGCAAUUAGCGGGUACAACCAUUAAGACGAUGGAACGGCACAUAACGGAAUUCGA